rnacentral:rRNA from 1 species
UACGUAGGGCGCAAGCGUUACUCGGAAUCACUGGGCAUAAAGGGCGUGUAGGCGGGCGCGUAAGUCUGGUGUGAAAUCCCCCGGCUCAACCGGGGACGGCCAUCAGAUACUGCGUGUCUUGAGUGUGGGAGAGGAGAGUGGAACUCUUGGUGGAGCGGUGAAAUGCGUAGAUAUCAAGAGGAACGCCGGUGGCGAAAGCGGCUCUCUGGCCCAUUACUGACGCUGAGGCGCGAAAGCUAGGGGAGCAAACGGG